rnacentral:rRNA from 3 species
GGACUACUGGGGUAUCUAAUCCCGUUCGCUCCCCUAGCUUUCGCGCCUCAGCGUCAGAAGAGGUCCAGCACGUCGCUUUCGCCACCGGCGUUCCUUCCGAUAUCAACGCAUUUCACCGCUCCACCGGAAGUUCCACAUGCCCCUACCUCCCUCCAGCCCGCCAGUAUCGAAGGCACUUUUCCGGUUGAGCCGAAAGAUUUCACCCCCGACUUGGCGAGCCGCCUACGCGCCCUUUAAGCCCAGUGAUUCCGAACAACGUUUGCACGGUUCGUCUUACCGCGGCGGCUGGCAC